UCCUUGGAGGUCCAGUGGUUAGGAUUCUGGCUUCCACUGCAGAGAGCACGGGUUCGAUCCCUGAUCAGGGAA
rnacentral:tRNA from 1 species